rnacentral:rRNA from 1 species
GACGAACGCUGGCGGCGUGCUUAACACAUGCAAGUCGAACGGAAAGGCCCUGCUUUUGUGGGGUGCUCGAGUGGCGAACGGGUGAGUAACACGUGAGUAACCUGCCCUUGACUUUGGGAUAACUUCAGGAAACUGGGGCUAAUACCGGAUAGGAGCUCCUGCCGCAUGGUGGGGGUUGGAAAGUUUCGGCGGUUGGGGAUGGACUCGCGGCUUAUCAGCUUGUUGGUGGGGUAGUGGCUUACCAAGGCUUUGACGGGUAGCCGGCCUGAGGGGGUGACCGGCCACAUUGGGACUGAGAUACGGCCCAGACUCCUACGGGAGGCAGCAGUGGAGAAUAUUGCACAAUGGGCGGAAGCCUGAUGCAGCAACGCCGCGUGCGGGAUGACGGCCUUCGGGUUGUAAACAGCUUUCGCCUGUGACGAAGCGUGAGUGACGGUAAUGGGUAAAGAAGCACCGGCUAACUACGUG